AUUGAACGCUGGCGGCAGGCCUAACACAUGCAAGUCGAGCGGAUGAGAGGAGCUUGCUUCUCGAUUCAGCGGCGGACGGGUGAGUAAUGCCUAGGAAUCUGCCUGGUAGUGGGGGACAACGUUUCGAAAGGAACGCUAAUACCGCAUACGUCCUACGAGAGAAAGCAGGGGACCUUCGGGCCUUGCGCUAUCAGAUGAGCAUAGUUCGGAUUAGCUCGUUGGAGAGGUAAUGGCUCACCAAGGCGCCGAUCCGUAACUGGUCUGAGAGGAUGAUCAGUCACACUGGAACUGAGACACGUUCCAGACUCCUACGGGAGGCAGCAGUGGGGAAUAUUGGACAAUGGGCGAAAGCCUGAUCCAGCCAUGCCGCGUGUGUGAAGAAGGUCUUCGGAUUGUAAAGCACUUUAAGUUGGGAGGAAGGGUUGUAGAUUAAUACUCUGCAAUUUUGACGUUACCGACAGAAUAAGCACCGGCUAACUCUGUGCCAGCCGCCGCAGUAACAC
rnacentral:rRNA from 1 species